CUUUUUUUUUAUCAUCACGGCACAUGGCUAGAGGUGAAUUUGAGAAUUGUGCUCACAUCUUGGAUAAAUUUGCCUUAUACGUAUUAGGAGGUGAAUAUAAGAGUUUCUUAUUCUUGAGAAAAGAAAGAAAUAUCCACUUCAGUGUUUUGGGAUUUGAAUUAUUCUAUCUUCCUAAUCAAGCCGUAAUCGUUAGACCUCACUUCAGGCCGUCCACUAUAUACAGGCCUUUUCAUUUUUGGCCCCUUUCGCUUUAUCUCUUCGUUGUACGUUGGUUACAUCUUGACGAUUAGCUUAUUGUUACCUUUGUUACGGUACUACAAGAAGUCUCUGACAACCAGAAAAUCAUUGAUUACAACUAUAAUACUUACCACAGAAUCUCAAGAUCAUUUAUGAACACACCAGAUCUCUACAAAGUUUCGAACGAAGAGAAUAUCCAUUGGAGAAAGAUAUACGCUGGCAACACCUUGAUCAGGCGAGCUCUUUCCAUUAUUUCUAUUGCUUUACUUAUAUUAAUAUUACACCUUUUGUUGCUUGUCAAUUAUCCUGUUUAUUGGUUACAUUUGAAUGCUGCUAUUUGGCUGUGAAGCCUUAUCUACCAGUGAUUCUGAAAGAAAGAAUACAACUAACUAAAUAUCACACCUCUGAGAUUAUAUUUACUUACCACUUACUAGUUUAUAUAUAUGUAAACUCUGAUGUAUAUAUACAUAGGGGUAUCAAAUGAUCAUGUCCUUCUCCCCAUGCUGAAUGAUUCAAUGUUAAAUCUAUAUGUAGUUAAGUCUACUUGCAACUUGCACAACGAAUAAAUCCACUUCCUAUCA
rnacentral:lncRNA from 1 species